rnacentral:rRNA from 1 species
CCUACGGGGGGCAGCAGUGGGGAAUAUUGCACAAUGGGGGAAACCCUGAUGCAGCGACGCCGCGUGAGUGAAGAAGUAAUUCGUUACGUAAAGCUCUAUCAGCAGGGAAGAAAAUGACGGUACCUGAGUAAGAAGCCCCGGCUAACUACGUGCCAGCAGCCGCGGUAAUACGUAGGGGGCAAGCGUUAUCCGGAUUUAUUGGGUUUAAAGGGAGCGUAGGCGGGUCUUUAAGCGUGCCGUGAAAUUUUGUGGCUCAACCAUGGGAGUGCGGCGCGAACUGGGGACCUUGAGUGCGCGGAAGGCAGGCGGAACUCGUGGUGUAGCGGUGAAAUGCUUAGAUAUCACGAAGAACCCCGAUGGCGAAGGCAGCCUGCCGCAGCGUUACUGACGCUGAGGCUCGAAGGCGCGGGUAUCGAACAGGAUUAGAUACCUUUGUAGUC